ACGGAGGAUCCGAGCGUUAUCCGGAUUUACUGGGUUUAAAGGGUGCGUAGGCGGGCGCCUAAGUCAGCGGUGAAAUACGGGGGCUCAACCUUCGAACGGCCGUUGAUACUGGGCGCCUUGGAUUCGGUCGAGGCGGGCGGAAUGCGUGGUGUAGCGGUGAAAUGCUUAGAUAUCACGCAGAACGCCGAUUGCGAAGGCAGCUCGCCAGGCCGACAUUGACGCUGAGGCACGAAAGCGUGGGGAUCAAACAGGAUUAGAUACCCUGGUAGUCCACGCCGUAAACGAUGAUGGCUGGAUGUUGGCGAUACACCGUCAGCGUCUGAGGGAAACCAUUAAGCCAUCCACCUGGGGAGUACGGCCGCAAGGCUG
rnacentral:rRNA from 1 species